rnacentral:lncRNA from 1 species
AUAGCAAAUAUAUAUAUAUAGCGAUUUUUUUUAAAAAGGCAAGCUUUGACUAUAUCGAGAAGGGGCUGUUACAGAGGCAUUCUCCUCAUUUUACUCAGGGGAAACAUGCAGUAGGUUCCCACCAAAUAAAAAGUGACCUUUUGUUCCUUCUCCUCUGUACACACCCCUCACGUGUGCCAAGCAAAUGAGAACAGAGGCCCUUGGGAAUUAAAACAGAAGGAAGCAGUAACCAGAUUGAGAUGGACAUGCUGCUAACUGCCAGCCGUUGACCUGAGCAGUCCUAACUUGCACUCGGUCUUCAGUGUUGGGCCAAGUGGACUAAGUACAUAAGUGUCACCUGUCAUAAGACACGCUACAUCUACUGUCAGACGAAACAAAUCAGCCAGAAGAUACUUUAUUUGAUCUUAUGGACACACACCUUCUCUUGAGCUUUGCAGAAAUUGUGACAAAUUUUGGGGUUUAAAAACAUCGCUUAUAUUUCACCCAGACUUGGAAUAUUUAGAGGAGUUUGCUUCUCCUUCUCAUUCUCUGUGUUUCUAAUGGGAGGGGUUUAAAUAAGUAUGGAGAGCAUUCAGAGACAGGUGCCACAGAGACUGGAGGGAAUCACAGUUUUGUACAGUGAAGUGAGGGGUGUUAAGUAGAAGACUUGCACCUGUCCUGGUUUGAAGAUAACUAGAAAAGAAAAUAGUGGACACACUGAAAGGAGGCAGUCAAGAGAAGCGUCCGGUGCAACUCUGCCUAGCAGUGGGUGGGAGCGGAUCCCUGCAGCGCAUCCCACAGCACCCCGUGACCAGGCGCCUCACUGAACCCUAGUCUGAGAAGGGAGGAGGACAGCAAGAGUGCUGCCUGGAAUAGCUCAAGUCCCAGCAGGUCAGGCAGGCAGUGGCGGGGUGGGGCUGGGGUGUUCUUCUCCUCUUACUUUUGGGGUGGAAGUGAUGCUCAAGUCCCUUAGGGAACUAACAGAUCCAUUGGGUCUACCAGAUCCUAGAAAAGGCUGGUGGUCAGACCAAGCCCUAGUUGUGCUGAGUGGAAAGACGUGAUUGCCAGCGCAGGUCUGUUCUUUCUCCAUCGUGACUGUGGCUUGCCCCCAUAGCCGCGGUUGUACUGCUCUUUGGCUGCAAAGAUCUCUUGAUCAAAAUGUGAGCUCACUCACCUUCCUACCGAACAUAAAAGCAACUUGGCUGCUUUCACAUUCUCCCUCUAGGCCAAACCAUGUGUGGUAGGUAGCUUUCCUCGUGUUAGCAUCAGGCCACAUCUGCUCUGCCCCAAAGGCAUUUCCCUUUCCUAUAGUCAGGACUGCUCACUGUACACGGUACUUUCCCAUUAGUAUUAUGUAAAUCCAGCUGUACAACUGACUGGUGGGCUAAUGUAACAUCACUGUUGCCCAGACACCCAUCCUCUCCUGUAUCCUCCCAUCAUCCUUAUUCUUCCCACAUCUUGCACAAGAUGAUGUUUAUGGUCAUUCGGCAAUAACUGGACAUCAACUGCUAUCUUUUUGGCAUUUGUCAAAAAAUCCAAAUGCCCGGUCACAGGGGGUUUAAAGAAAAAAAACUAAGCAUUUUUACAAGUACACUGAAUUGGAUCAGCAUUAUUGUUCAUUAUAAUGCUAUAUAUUUUUUUGAAGUAACAUACUAUAGUUGUCAUAAAACUAUCUUUAUUCUUCUCCUCUGAAGUGUUGUUGUAAAUUCACUUGACCUUUACUGCAAGCAAAAAAAAAAUUUUUUUUCUAUAUAGACUAUCAAGACAAGGCUCAGUUUGUAACAAAUAGUGGACCAUUACAAAAGAGGAAACAGAAAAAGCCAGGCUGAGCAGCGAGAAGCUUCGGUUCAAUUUCACCUCAUAUCUUUCUAAUAACUUACUUGUCACUUUAUUACCUUCCAGUAAUGUGAACGCUGCUGACAAGACUGUCACACUAACAGCAGACAACACCCUGUCUGCUUCAGCCCCAGCUCUCCUGGCUACUUAUUGCCCUGGCCCUGAAGGGACACAAACUAAUAGUGUGCUUUCCAGUUCAGCACUUGGCCAUCAAAUAUAAAAGGAUGCGUAAUUGCCUGUUUAUCCCUUGUGAAGGGGAAAUUGAGUACAAGGGCUAGGCUUUCCCACUGAGUUCCCCGAUGCACACACAUCCACAGUCACUCUCCCUCCCUCCCUGCACCUCCUCCCAGCACACGAGCACAUACACACACCCACUAAACUAUAUCUCUGGUAAGCCCAAGGCUGCCUCGCAGUGCCCUCUCCAGCUAUUAAGUGCACAGUAACAAGACUACUUCUUAAAUAAAGGGUCAGCAGAGAGAUUCUGGCUUUGACAGCAUCCUCUGGGUCUUUGGAAACUUAAGUAUUGCAAUUCUAAGCCCAUGUAUUUUGGAAGUACUGGGUAUGGCCCCAUAAUUAGAACAAAGUUUCUACAAGUCAGUGGCAAAGGUGGGAUUAGAUUGCCCCAUGUUCUGUAAAUAAAGAAGUAAGAUGUUUUUCCUCUCCUUCAAAAAGUGCACGUGCUGUAAACAAAUUGGUUGUGCGUGGUGGUUUGAAAAAAAAUUUUUUAGCUUUGGCCUCCAACCAGUAGUCUAGAUGUACACGAGUAUCUUGCCGUGACAACCUCCAAAUCCAUAGUGUAACAGGACAGAUUCACCUUUAAUUGGACUGACAAUCUGAAAAAAAUAAUAAGGCACAGGGACUUUGAGUUUAAUCACUAAAACAGGGACUACCCUAUAUGUAGAAAGUAAAUUCUCCACUUUGGGAGAAUUUGGGUAAGUAUAAGCACAUGAGCUUUACAAAAUCAAGUACGAGGGAACAAAAGGUACAAGAAAAAUCAUGUGAAAAUGUGAUCUUCCUAAACAUCUUGAGCCCAAAUAACAUAUAUAAGAAUUGGCUGCUAUUUUUGUAUACUGAACUACUUACAGGAUCAUAAAAGUGGCUAGUUAGUGGCUAAAUGAACAAUAAGGUCUCAGUGUGCCUCUUGGGGAAUUAGGGGGACACCCUGCUUCUUUCUAAACUCGUGCAGUGGGUCUGAUAGAUGCUGUUGAUCCCACCCCUCUCCCCCCACUGACUUUGAACAGUCACAUUUUAAAUCUGUGUCAAAAAAUAAGACACGUGCAGGUGUCAUCUUUGAUGCAAACUUUUGGAAAGAGAGAAAAGUGGCAGACAGAGACAAAAGGUCUAUGUAGACAAACCUGUGCUAAAAUAAUUGUAUUAAGCAGUAUGUGGACUGGGCAGAAAAGCACUUUGAGUAACGAUUCUUGGGGUCAGGGAAAAAGCAGUUGAUGUUUUUAAGUUCUCCCAGUAUGUAUAUAUUACAAUCAUUUAGCAAACAUCUUAAGAGAAUCUUAAUUAAAAAUUCAGUUGCCAAAAUUGCACAGAUUAUUCAAUAUUAGCUGUACCCCCCCCCACUUAAAUAAUAGGUAUGCUUAAGGACAGUUUUAAUUGUUUUAGUAUAUUUUUAGCUUCCUUUUUCUAAGAUUCUUUGAAGGGAAGGAAGAGUGGAAAAAGGUAUUUUAACAAAAAUGGAAAGAAAUAGAUAGUAUAAAACUAUAUUUCUUAAAGUAUGCAAGCGCUAAACCAAGACUUUAUAAGGCUUCCUGUUGCCAAACACGAUGCUGAAAUAAUGCACAAGAUGGCACAUCAGUCCAGUACCAACCGGCUCUGCCCACUGCUGUUACAAAAUGCAAGGAUUGAGAGGUGGCCCCAGGGGUGAAGGGGCCCAUCGGUGUCAGAGAGUCCCACUCCUCUGGCCCUGGAAACAGUUUCCGCAAGAGGGGGAGAAAAGACCAGCCCUCUUGGCAGACCUCCCCCAAGGUGAGCUGACCUGGCACUGUUUCUGCAGGAGCCGCAUGCCCUGCCCUUCCCACUCUAGGCCACAGAGCACCCCUGGCCUGCCUGUGAAUCAGCGCCGUGGCCAAGAGCAGCAGUGAUUCAUGAGGCAUGAUGCUCUUGAUUCCCAGACAAUGUGCUCAGUUAACAGGCUCACUCGAGAUGUGUAAACCAAGUUGACUGUUUUCAUCUAGUACUCAAUUUGGAGUGUUUUUGCAUGUCUUUGUACAGAUCCACUCCUCUCAUUGCCCAUCUUAAUCUCCCCUGACUUCAUUAUCUUUCCACUCCUGCCCUUUCUUCUUCUGAUCUCACCCACCCUCUUCAAAGAAAAUCUUUUCUGAAGCAAGAAGGUAGAACACUCCCUCCUUCAUCUGGAUUUUGAUGCUCUGGAAACAUUUGUGUGUUCCACCCUGUCUGGGGUUUACAUAACGUGAAUUAAGUGAAUGAGCUGUUCUAGUAUUAUAUAUUAACCUGAUCUGACUAAGAUUUAUAAUAUAUGGUGCUCUCACUUUCCUGUGCAAACUUUGGUUCUGCUGCCCUGCCAGAAAAGUGUCAACCAUUUUCCUACCAAUGCCAGUAUGAACAGGGCAGGAGAGCUAAACAUGGGUACCUGGAGGUCAGAGGGGUGAGGGAGGUGGAGAAACCAGGAGAAGAUGUGGGUCUGAGGCCUCCCUGGGCCUUUCCUCAAAAGUGGAGGUGAAUCAAUACUUCAGGAAAGCAAGCUCUCGGCUCUCAAAUGCUCCUCAUCGACUAAGCCUUUUAGAACUAGCAAGAUUCCCUCACCUGGUUGAGAGAAUACAUAACUUUCUUACUCACCCCAAACCCACUGGUGUGUCUUGCUAACAAAAACACUGGACACAACCCUCCUAUUUGACAGCAAAAUUGGCCAAAGGGAACUGAAAUAUCUUAAGGAAAAGGAAUUUUCCCCAAGAUAGGUCCUUUUCCCCACCCCCUACCCUGGAGUUUGGUGGGGAGGGCUGUGCUUUGUUUGUUUGUUUCUGUCCUCCUCUGCAUCAAACCAGCCUCUCCUGCCCAGCCUGUCACAGAACCAAGGUCUGCACUACGAAAGGGGUCAGCACCCAGGGACGGGCACAGCUUACAUCACCCUGAUCUGAUCAUUGUGACGUCGGUAGCUUCAUAAAUACUGUAUGUACCUUGAACAAGGGUUUUGUUUUUGUUUUGUUUUGUUUUUCUUAGUAGUUUAAGGGAAUUAAAAGUUUUUAUUUGCCGUUUCCUUUGUUGUAUUUUCUGUACUAUAACUGUCUAUGUCUUUUGCAUAAAAUGCAUAAGGGUUUGGGGAUGUAAAUGGAAUUUUAUUCAUAUUUUGUCCAAAUACCUCUUGUAAUUUGUAUCAAAAUUCUUGUACAAUUUUUAUAUUAAAGAUUUAUCAGUCACUGAUCUCUUCUUACCUCCUUGAUUUGAAGAAAC